UACAGAGGUGGCGAGCGUUGUUCGGAUUUACUGGGCGUAAAGGGUGCGUAGGUGGUUCUGUGUGUCGGUUGUGAAAUCCCACUGCUCAAUGGUGGAACUGCAAUCGAAACUGCGGAACUUGAGUGCAUGAGGGGAGAGCGGAAUUCUUGGUGUAGCGGUGAAAUGCGUUGAUAUCAAGAAGAACACCGGUGGCGAAGGCGGCUCUCUGGAAUGUUACUGACACUGAGGCACGAAAGCUGGGGGAG
rnacentral:rRNA from 1 species